CUCCAGGCCACGACCACUCUAAGGGAUGCUGGCCUCUGCAGGUGAUGGUCAGCGUGUCCUUGGCGUUGAUGACGUGUUCUUCCUCGGUGAUGCUAAGAGUAGGAGGGGUCAUAGAAUAGCUGCUCACCAGAUCUGCCUCCGAGACAAUGCCGAGCCACAGCCAGAGGGGCAGCGUGCAAACUCUCUUCAUCUCCGGGGCUGCGGGCGGUUCGGUACGGUGCGGAGCGGUGCGGAGCGCCCCGCGCCCGAGCUGUGCUCCCGGCGCUCCCCAGCUGCGGCGACGCGCGGCGGCGGGCGGGGAGGGAGCACCGGGACCGCUUCCUUUUC
rnacentral:lncRNA from 1 species